rnacentral:rRNA from 1 species
AACGAACGCUGGCGGCGUGGAUAAGACAUGCAAGUCGAGCGGGAACUUUCGCUGUAGCAAUACAGUGAAAGUUCUAGCGGCGAACGGGUGCGUAACACGUGGACAAUCUGCCUUAAAGUGGGGGAUAGCUCGGCGAAAGCCGAAUUAAUACCGCAUGUGAUGAGAGACGACAUCGUCUUGAAAUCAAAGCCGGGGCAACCUGGCGCUUUUUGAGGAGUCCGCGGCCAUCAGCUUGUUGGUGAGGUAACGGCUCACCAAGGCUAUGACGGGUAGCUGGUCUGAGAGGACGACCAGUCACACUGGAACUGAGACACGGUCCAGACACCUACGGGUGGCAGCAGUCGAGAAUUUUUGACAAUGGGGAAACCCUCGAUCGAGCGACGCCGCGUGGAGGAUGAAGGUCUUCGGGUUGUAAACUCCUNUCAUUUGAGAACAAGGUGCACCGGUUAACUGCCGGUGCAUUGAUAGUAUCAGAAGAGGAAGAGACGGCUAAC